GAUGAACGCUGGCGGCGCGCCUAACACAUGCAAGUCGAACGGAGAACAUUUAGCAAUAGAUGUUCUUAGUGGCGGACGGGUGAGUAACGCGUGAGGAACCUGCCUUUCGGAGGGGGAAUAACACAUCGAAAGAUGUGCUAAUACCGCAUAACGUCAUUGGGUGGCAUCAUCCGAUGACCAAAAGAGCAAUCUGCCGAAAGAUGGCCUCGCGUCCGAUUAGAUAGUUGGUGAGGUAACGGCCCACCAAGUCUGCGAUCGGUAGCCGGACUGAGAGGUUGAACGGCCACAUUGGGACUGAGACACGGCCCAGACUCCUACGGGAGGCAGCAGUGGGGGAUAUUAGUCAAUGGAGGAAACUCUGAACUAGCGACGCCGCGUGAGGGAAGAAGGUCUUCGGAUUGUAAACCUCUGUCUUCGGGGAAGAUAAUGACGGUACCCGAGGAGGAAGCUCCGGCUAACUACGUG
rnacentral:rRNA from 1 species